rnacentral:rRNA from 1 species
AGGGUUCGAUCAUGGCUCAGGACGAACGCUGGCGGCGCGCCUAACACAUGCAAGUCGAACGAGAGACGAGGAGCUUGCUCUUCUGAUCGAGUGGCGAACGGGUGAGUAACGCGUGAGGAACCUGCCUCAAAGAGGGGGACAACAGUUGGAAACGACUGCUAAUACCGCAUAAGCCCACGGCUCGGCAUCGAGCAGAGGGAAAAGGAGUGAUCCGCUUUGAGAUGGCCUCGCGUCCGAUUAGCUAGUUGGUGAGGUAAUGGCCCACCAAGGCGACGAUCGGUAGCCGGACUGAGAGGUUGAACGGCCACAUUGGGACUGAGACACGGCCCAG